rnacentral:rRNA from 1 species
CGAUACCUACGGGGGGCAGCAGUGGGGAAUAUUGCGCAAUGGGCGAAAGCCUGACGCAGCAACGCCGCGUGAAGGAAGAAGGCUUUCGGGUUGUAAACUUCUUUUCUCAGGGACGAAGCAAGUGACGGUACCUGAGGAAUAAGCCACGGCUAACUACGUGCCAGCAGCCGCGGUAAUACGUAGGUGGCAAGCGUUAUCCGGAUUUACUGGGUGUAAAGGUCGUGUAGGCGGGGACGCAA